rnacentral:rRNA from 1 species
UUGCUACGGAAUGUCGAUUCGGCUAGAACAGGUACGACGAUGUGGACGUAAAUUUAAUAUAGAACCCGUGCCAGGCGCUACUUGUUUCUUCGACGCUGAAUACGAAGGCUGGGGAGCGAAGGGAAAUAGAAUCCCCCCGUAGUCCUAGCUGUUAACGUUGAGUACUUGAUCGUGGCCCCCCCAUUAGCUCUCGUCGUAGCGAAGUGUUAGUACUCCGCCUGGGAGUAUGUCGCAGGCUGAACUCAAAGGAUUGACGGGGGCUCACACCAGCGGUGGAGGAUGUGCUUAAUUCGAGGCUACGCGAAAAACUUUAUCCUAGUCUUGACAUGCACGGAUCAACCCGGUGAAAGCCGGGCCACGCCUUCGGGUGGAACGUGCACAGGUGCUGCAUGGCUGUCGUCAGCUCGUGUCGUGAGAUGUCGGGUUAAGUCCCUUAACGAGCGAAACCCUUGUCGCUAGUUGCCAGCGAGUUAUGUCGGGGACUCUAGCGAGACCGCCGGCGUUAAGCCGGAGGAAGGUGGGGAUGACGUCAAGUCCUCAUGGCCUUUAUGACUAGGGCUGCACACGUCCUACAAUGCUGCGUACAAAGGGAUGCAAACUCGCGAGAGCAAGCAAAUCCCAAAAAACGCAGCUCAGUUCGGAUUGCAGGCUGCAACCCGCCUGCAUGAAGCUGGAAUCGCUAGUAAUCGCGGGUCAGCAUACCGCGGUGAAUGUGUUCGUGAGCCUUGUACAUACCGCCCGUGA